rnacentral:rRNA from 1 species
GAUGAACGCUGGCGGCGUGCCUAAUACAUGCAAGUCGAGCGAACUGAUUAGAAGCUUGCUUCUAUGACGUUAGCGGCGGACGGGUGAGUAACACGUGGGCAACCUGCCUGUAAGACUGGGAUAACUUCGGGAAACCGAAGCUAAUACCGGAUAGGAUCUUCUCCUUCAUGGGAGAUGAUUGAAAGAUGGUUUCGGCUAUCACUUACAGAUGGGCCCGCGGUGCAUUAGUUAGUUGGUGAGGUAACGGCUCACCAAGGCAACGAUGCAUAGCCGACCUGAGAGGGUGACCGGCCACACUGGGACUGAGACACGGCCCAGACUCCUACGGGAGGCAGCAGUAGGGAAUCUGCCGCAAUGGACGAAAGUCUGACGGAGCAACGCCGCGUGAGUGAUGAAGGCUUUCGGGUCGUAAAACUCUGUUAUAAGAGAAGAACAAAUUGUAGAGUAACUGCUACAGUCUUGACGGUAUCUUAUCAGAAAGCCACGGCUAACUACGUGCCAGCCGCCGCGGUAA